AUGCCGGGGGGCGGGAUCGGCGCGGGCCUCGACUUCGACCUCCCGGCGGUGAUCCAGGCGGCGCUCGUCGGCUUCGUGCUCCUCGCCGCCGCCGCUGCCGCCCUCCGCCGCGCCGCCUCGCGCUACUUCCUCGUCGACGCCGCGGGCUUCGCCGCCGCCUACGAGGACCACCACCCCGCCUACGCGAUGCCGCCCCAGGGGGAUCAGCAGCCGCCCCCCUCCUCGCCGCAGGGGCAGGGGCAAGGGCAGCUGCAGGCCGCCGCGCCCGAGCUCGGGCCCUGCGCCCACUGCGGCGCCGCCGGCACCAAGAAGUGCUCCGGCUGCAAGCGCAUGCGAUACUGUUCUGGAGAAUGUCAGUCAAAGCAUUGGCAAUCUGAUCACAAAUUCAAGUGCAAACAAAUGAAAUUAUUGGAUCCUAUUGACAAGUUACCCUGUGGAGUUGAGGCCAGUAAGAAGUCACCUGUCUCUGGCCAUCGUGGUAUCUCAUUAGUGCCUGGCCAUCGAAAAUUAAACAAGGUCAUCUAUCCUUAUGAUGAUUUUUUAAAGCUGUACAAUUGGAAGUGCAAUGAUUCGAAAUACAGCGAUUUUUUAACUUGUGGGCUUGUGAACUGUGGCAACAGUUGCUUUGCCAAUGUGGUUUUACAAUGUCUGUCAUACACGAGGCCACUUGUGGCCUAUCUGUUAGGAAAGGACCAUUAUAGGCAAUGUGCUAUAAGACAUGAAGAUUGGUGUUUCUUAUGUGAGCUGCAAUCUCAUAUUCAAAGAGCGUUUGAUAGCGUACACCCAUUUGCUCCCACGAACAUUCUUUCUCAUUUACCAAAUAUUGGUGGCAACCUUGGCUUUGGUAGGCAGGAAGAUGCUCAUGAAUUUAUGAGGUUUGCAAUAGAUAAGAUGCAAUCAGCUUGCCUUGACGAAUUUGGAGGUGAGAAGGUCGUGGAUCAUAGCACCCAGGAGACAACUGUUAUUCAGCACAUAUUUGGCGGUCGUCUGCAAUCUCAGGUUCAGUGUACUGCAUGUGGUAUGGUCUCAAAUCGCUAUGAGAAUAUGAUGGACUUGACAGUUGAAAUUCAUGGUGAUGCUGAAUCCUUGGAAAAAUGCUUGGAUCAGUUCACUGCUAUAGAGUGGCUUGAUGGGGACAAUAAGUACAAAUGUGAUGGAUGUAACGACUAUGUUAAAGCACGGAAACAUCUCACAGUUCAUCAAGCUCCAAAUAUACUCACUAUUACUCUCAAAAGAUUCCAGAGUGGUAGAUUUGGAAAACUGAACAAGAAAGUCACAUUCCCUACGAAGUUAGAUUUAACUCCAUACAUGAGCACCACUGAUGGAACUGACCAGUAUGAUCUAUAUGCUGUCGUUGUUCAUCUGGAUAUGCUGAAUGCUUCGUUUUUUGGGCAUUAUAUAUGCUACAUAAAACAUUAUCGAGGACGUUGGCUUAAAUUGGAUGACUGCAAGGGGAUGGCUGUUGACGAGGAGGAAGUACAUGCUCAAGGUGCCUAUAUGCUUCUAUAUAGCAGGAGAACAGCUCGUCCUGUACCACUUCUUCCAGUCAAAGAACCAAUAAAACAUGAGAAACAGUGCAAAGUGCCUCCUUUAAAUGGACAAAAUCAUUUGAUACCUGAGGAUAUGUCAUUAAAAUGUGAAUCAUUUUCAAAGUCUUCAGAAGAUCUACGAGAGGAUUCUGAAUCCAGCAAUGACUCUCUGCAUAGAAUGGAUACCGUCAACCAGGUAUCAGACCUGGAUUUGCAUAUGAACAUUGAGAGAGAUAAAUUCGUUGCCAAUGGAAGUAUACAUCAGCCAAUUUCAUCGGCAUUACAUGUCCUUGAAGAAGAUACUAGAGACUCAGGUUCUCUGUUAGAAGGCAAUAAUACCAUGAGAGCUGACCAAUUUGGCAAUUCUGCGUGUGAAUCCUCUUCAGUUAAUUCCUCUGAAGAGGAAUGCAAGGAACCUGCCCCAGGUAUUGAUUCAGUUGACUACAUGGAUAUUGAUAUGGAAGCUGGAACAGAAGUUGAAACACAGAAUGUGGAACAACAACCUAUCUUAGGUGAUUCAGUUGAAGUGAUAGGCAACAAAACAUCAGUCCCAACCUUUGAUAAUUGUAUGGCAGGAAAACCAAAACCACUCUUUUCUGUUGGUUUCCUUGACAAACCCUCAAGAAAGAAGUCUGACUCUAGGGAAGAGUGCCAAAAUGGUGGCAGCAUGGCAGUUUCCUCCCAAAAAAUAGAUGGUCAUUGUAAUGAACAUCUCAGCAGGCCAGAGCAAGGACUUAUUGCCUACUCCCGUGGCGUCAGCCCAUCCUCAGCAAAUGGAAGUGUACAUUGCAAUGGAGACGUGUUUGUGACUCCUAGCAACGGAGUUCUUGUCAAUGGUGAUACACAAUCUGACAAUUACUCCUUGAAUGCAGCAAAGAGGGAUGUACCUUCUGUUCAGGGAUUUAAUCCGAGGCCUUACAGAUCACCAUCAAGCAGCAACCCAAAUCGGAAUAAUACAAGCAAAGGUCUCUUCCCACGUGGUUUCCUUGCAAAGCCUCGUUCUGGAGAGAAAGCAGUCAAAGUUGAUGAUGGGUUGCCAUUUAGUAAUGGAAAUGGCAAAGCAUCAUCAUCAUCCUCUGUGAAUGGCAACGGCAUAUCGAAUACCAAUUCUUCACCUCGAAGCAGCACAGGUGGCAUGGGCAUGUCUCCUGGAUUUCUUGCGAAGCGUUCCAGGGAGUCUGCUGCUGCAAGCUUUAUGGGUGAUCCGCAGAGCAGUAACACUUCCAAGGAGCAAGAACAUGUUGGUGCUGCAGCACUACUACCUGACAAGAUACAAGAAAGGCGGAGUUCCUAUUGCACCACAAACGGCAUCAAGGCCCAACACGGAGCAGCUUCUGUUCAUGAUGUGAGUGGUCACAGUGAUGAAAACGGGCACGCAUUCGUGGGCACCAAGAACGGCAUCCAUGGUGAAGAAAAUGGUAGCAACGGAACCCUUGAUAUGCAUGACAGCAGUUGCCAAAUGGAUGAAAACGGACAUGGAGUUCUGGACAUCAAAGAUGUCAUCUUCAGAGAACAAAAUGUCAGCAAUGGAACUCUGGAUAUGCAUGGCAUGGGAUCCGAAGAUGCUGACCACGUCGUCAAGUCACCCGCCGCUCCUGCCCAUGAUGGUCUGCGACGAAGAUUAACCACCUCAAAAUAUUUUGAUGAGAGUAGCAUGGACGAGCAAUGA
rnacentral:rRNA from 1 species